AGAGAGAGAGAGAGAGAAAAUGAUAGUGACAGGGACAACCAGAGAGAGAGAGAGAGAGAGAAAAUGAUAGCGACAGGGACAACCAGAGAGAGAGAAAAUUAUAGCGACAGGGACAACCAGAGAGAGAGAAAAUGAUAGCGACAGGGACAACCAGAGAGAGAGAAAAUGAUAGCGACAGGGACAACCAGAGAGAGAGAAAAUGAUAGCGACAGGGACUGUGAAAAGGAUAGCGACAGGCACAACCAGAGAGAUAGAAAGAGAAAAUGAUAGCAACAGGGACAACCAGAGAGAGAGAGAGAGAAAAAUAUAGCGACAGGGACAACCAGGUAGAGAGAGAAAAGGAUAGCGACAGGGACAACCAGAGAGAGAGAGAGAGAGAAAAGAAUAGCGGCAGGGACAACCAGAGAGAGAGAGAGAGAAAAGGAUAGCGACAGGGACAACCAGAGAGAGAGAGAGAGAGAAAAUGAUAGUGAUAGGGACAACCAGAGAGAGAGAGAGAGAGAGAGAGAAAAUGAUAGCGACAGGGACAACCAGAGAGAGAGAAAAUGAUAGCGACAGGGACAACCAGAGAGAGAGAAAAUGAUAGCGACAGGGACAACCAGAGAGAGAGAAAAUGAUAGCGACAGGGACAACCAGAGAGAGAGAAAAUGAUAGCGACAGGGACUGUGAAAAGGAUAGCGACAGGCACAACCAGAGAGAUAGAAAGAGAAAAUGAUAGCAACAGGGACAACCAGAGAGAGAGAGAGAGAGAAAAGUAUAGCGACAGGGACAACCAGGGAGAGAGAGAGAGAAAAUGAUAGCGACAGGGACAACCAGAGAGAGAGAAAGAGAAAAUGAUAGCGACAGGGACAACCAGAGAGAGAGAGAGAGAGAGAGAGAAAAGGAUAGCGACAGGGACAACCAGAGAGAGAGAGAGAGAGAAAAUGAUAGCGACAGGGACAACCAGAGAGAGAGAGAAAAUGAUAGCGACAGGGACAACCAGAGAGAGAGAGAAAAUGAUAGCGACAGGGACAACCAGAGAGAGAGAGAGAAAAUGAUAGCGACAAGGACAACCAGAGAGAGAGAGAAAAUGAUAGCGACAGGGACAACCAGAGAGAGAGAGACUAUGAUAGCGACAGGGACUGUGAAAAGGAUAGCGACAGGCACAACCAGAGAGAUAGAAAGAGAAAAUGAUAGCAACAGGGACAACCAGAGAGAGAGAGAGAGAGAGAGAGAGAGAAAAGGAUAGCGACAGGGACAACCAGAGAGAGAGAGAGAAAAUGAUAGCGACAGGGACAACCAGAGAGAGAGAAAGAGAAAAUGAUAGCGACAGGGACAACCAGAGAGAGAGAAAGAGAAAAUGAUAGCAACAGGGACAACCAGAGAGAGAGAGAGAGAGAGAAAAAAGGAUAGCGACAGGGACAACCAGAGAGAGAGAGAGAGA
ensembl:lncRNA